rnacentral:rRNA from 1 species
GACGAACGCUGGCGGCGUGCUUAACACAUGCAAGUCGUACGGUAAGGCCCUUUCGGGGGUCCACGAGUGGCGAACGGGUGAGUAACACGUGAGUAACCUGCCAACAACUUUGGGAUAACGCUAGGAAACUGGUGCUAAUACUGGAUAUGUGCUCCUGCUGCAUGGUGGGGGUUGGAAAGCUCCGGCGGUUGUGGAUGGACUCGCGGCCUAUCAGCUUGUUGGUGGGGUAGUGGCCUACCAAGGCGGCGCCGGGGAGCCGGCCUGAGAGGGUGACCGGCCACAGUCGGACUGAGAUACGGCCCAGACUCCUACGGGAGGCAGCAGUGGGGAAGAGUGAUCAAGGGGCGCAAGCCUGAUGCAGCAACGCCGCGGGCGGGAUGACGGUCUUCGGGUUGGAAUCCGCUUGCAGCAGGGACGAAGCUUUUUGUGACGGUACCUGCAGAAGAAGCACCGGCUAACUACGUG